GUAGGCAGCAAGCGUUGUUCGGAGUUACUGGGCGUAAAGGGUGUGUAGGCGGUUCUUUAAGUUUGGUGUGAAAUCUCCCGGCUCAACUGGGAGGGUGCGCCGAAUACUGAGGGACUAGAGUACGGGAGAGGAAAGUGGAAUUCCUGGUGUAGCGGUGAAAUGCGUAGAUAUCAGGAGGAACACCGGUGGUGUAGACGGCUUUCUGGACCGUAACUGACGCUGAGACACGAAAGCGUGGGUAGCAAACAGGAUUAGAUACCCUGGUAGUCCACGCCCUAAACGAUGCAUAUUUGGUGUGGGCAGUUCAUUCUGUCCGUGCCGGGGCUAACGCGUUAAAUAUGCCGCCUGGGGAGUACAGUCGCAAGGCUG
rnacentral:rRNA from 1 species